GGACUACUGGGGUUUCUAAUCCUGUUCGCUACCCACGCUUUCGCUCCUCAGCGUCAGUUACUGCCCAGAGACCCGCCUUCGCCACCGGUGUUCCUCCUGAUAUCUGCGCAUUUCACCGCUACACCAGGAAUUCCAGUCUCCCCUGCAGUACUCAAGUCUGCCCGUAUCGCCCGCAAGCUUGGGGUUGAGCCCCAAGUUUUCACGGACGACGCGACAAACCGCCUACGAGCUCUUUACGCCCAGUAAUUCCGGACAACGCUCGCACCCUACGUAUUACCGCGGCUGCUGGCAC
rnacentral:rRNA from 1 species